rnacentral:rRNA from 1 species
CGCCAUCAAUCCGUCUCGGAUUACUGGGCGUAAGCGUGCGUAGGUGGUCGUUUAAGUCCGUUGUGAAAGCCCUGGGCUCAACCUGGGAACUGCAGUGGAUACUGGGCGACUAGAAUGUGGUAGAGGGUAGCGGAAUUCCUGGUGUAGCAGUGAAAUGCGUAGAGAUCAGGAGGAACAUCCAUGGCGAAGGCAGCUACCUGGACCAACAUUGACACUGAGGCACGAAAGCGUGGGGAGCAAACAGGAUUAGAUACCCCGGUAGUCCC